ACACCGGCAGCCCAAGUGGUGGCCAUUUUUAUUGGGCCUAAAGCGUUCGUAGCCGGCCUGAUAAGUCUCUGGUGAAAUCCCACAGCUUAACUGUGGGAAUUGCUGGAGAUACUAUCAUGACUCGAGGUCGGGAGAGGCUGGAGGUACUCCCAGGGUAGGGGUGAAAUCCUGUAAUCCUGGGAGGACCACCUGUGGCGAAGGCGUCCAGCUGGAACGAACCUGACGGUGAGGGACGAAAGCCAGGGGCGCGAACCGGAUUAGAUACCCGGGUAGUCCUGGCCGUAAACGAUGUGGACUUGGUGUUGGGAUGGCUUCGAGCUGCCCCAGUGCCGAAGGGAAGCUGUUAAGUCCACCGCCUGGGAAGUACGGCCGCAAGGCUGAAACUUAAAGGAAUUGGCGGGG
rnacentral:rRNA from 1 species